rnacentral:rRNA from 1 species
CGUGUAGGCGGUACGUUAAGUCGAGUGUGAAAGCCCUGGGCUCAACCCAGGACGUGCGCUCGAUACUGGCGAACUAGAGUACGGGAGAGGGUAGCGGAAUUCCCGGUGUAGAGGUGAAAUUCGUAGAUAUCGGGAGGAACACCAGUGGCGAAGGCGGCUACCUGGACCGAUACUGACGCUGAGACGCGAAAGCGUGGGUAGCAAACAGGAUUAGAUACCCUGGUAGUCC